AUUGAACGCUGGCGGCAUGCCUUACACAUGCAAGUCGAACGGCAGCACGGGUGCUUGCCCCUGGUGGCGAGUGGCGAACGGGUGAGUAAUACAUCGGAACAUGUCCUGUAGUGGGGGAUAGCCCGGCGAAAGCCGGAUUAAUACCGCAUACGAUCUACGGAUGAAAGCGGGGGACCUUCGGGCCUCGCGCUAUAGGGUUGGCCGAUGGCUGAUUAGCUAGUUGGUGGGGUAAAGGCCUACCAAGGCGACGAUCAGUAGCUGGUCUGAGAGGACGACCAGCCACACUGGGACUGAGACACGGCCCAGACUCCUACGGGAGGCAGCAGUGGGGAAUCUUGGACAAUGGGCGAAAGCCUGAUCCAGCAAUGCCGCGUGUGUGAAGAAGGCCUUCGGGUUGUAAAGCACUUUUGUCCGGAAAGAAAUCCUUGGCCCUAAUACGGUCGGGGGAUGACGGUACCGGAAGAAUAAGCACCGGCUAACUACGUG
rnacentral:rRNA from 1 species